rnacentral:rRNA from 1 species
GAUGAACGCUGGCGGCGUGCCUAAUACAUGCGAGUCGAGCGGACAGACGAGGAGCUUGCUCCUCUGACGUUAGCGGCGGACGGGUGAGUAACACGUGGAUAACCUACCUAUAAGACUGGGAUAACUUCGGGAAACCGGAGCUAAUACCGGAUAACAUGUUGAACCGCAUGGUUCAACAGUGAAAGACGGUCUUGCUGUCACUUAUAGAUGGAUCCGCGCCGCAUUAGCUAGUUGGUAAGGUAACGGCUUACCAAGGCAACGAUGCGUAGCCGACCUGAGAGGGUGAUCGGCCACACUGGAACUGAGACACGGUCCAGACUCCUACGGGAGGCAGCAGUAGGGAAUCUUCCGCAAUGGGCGAAAGCCUGACGGAGCAACGCCGCGUGAGUGAAGAAGGUCUUCGGAUCGUAAAACUCUGUUAUUAGGGAAGAACAAAUGUGUAAGUAACUAUGCACGUCUUGACGGUACCUAAUCAGAAAGCCACGGCUAACUACGUG